rnacentral:tRNA from 1 species
UCCGCGAUGGUGUAAUGGCAACACAGCGGUCUUUGGAACCGUUAUUCUAGGUUCGAGUCCUAGUCGCGGAG